CUGGUUGAUCCUGCCAGUAGUCAUAUGCUUGUCUUAAAGAUUAAGCCAUGCAGGUGUAAGAUCAUAUCUAUGAAUGGUGAAUCCGCGAAUGGCUCAUUAAAUCAGUUAUAAUUUAAUAGGAUGUGAUUCGUUAAUUGGAUAACUGUGGUAAUUCUAGAGCUAAUACAUGCAUAUACGGCUGAACUUUGUUUGGCUGUGCUUUUAUUAGUGCAAACCAGGCCUUAGGGCUGCAAAAUGGUGACUCUGAAUAACUUUGCUGAGCAUUUGGACCUUGUGUCAGUGCUAUUCCUUUAAAGUAUCUGCUCUAUCAACUGUCGAUGGUAUAUUAUAUGUUUACCAUGGUUGUAACGGGUAACGGGGAAUUAGGGUUCGAUUCCGGAGAGGGAGCCUGAGAAACGGCUACCACAUCUAAGGAAGGCAGCAGGCGCGCAAAUUACCCAAUCCCGGCUCGGGGAGGUAGUGACAAAAAAUAACAAUGCGGGACUCUUAUGAGGCUUCGUAAUUGGAAUGAGUACGUUCUAAAUCCUUUAACGAGGAACUAUUGGAGGGCAAGUCUGGUGCCAGCAGCCGCGGUAAUUCCAGCUCCAAUAGCGUAUAUUAAAGUUGUUGCGUCUAAAAAGCUCGUAGUUUGAAAACUUGCCUUGGCUUACAACAGACGUCUAAGGGCGUCACCGUUUGUCGAGAGCAAAUAUGGGUGACUGUUCUUGCCUUCUUCACUGAUUGGCUCGUAAAAGUCAUCGAAGAUCACUUUGAUUAAAUUAGGGUGCUCAAAGCAAGUGUGCUACUUGAAUAUGAAUGCAUGGAAUGAUGGAAUAUGUUGUUGUUCUAUUUGUUGGUUUUUUGAAUGACGAAAUGUUGAAAGGAACUGUUGGGGGCAUUCGUAUUGUUGUGAGAGAGGUGAAAUUCUUAGACCAUAGCAAGACGAACUACUGCGAAAGCAUUUGCCAAGAAUGUUUUCAUUGAUCAAGAACGAAAGUUAGAGGUUCGAAGGCGAUCAGAUACCGCCCUAGUUCUAACCAUAAACUAUGCCGACUAGCAAUUUGCUUUGUAUUUUUAUGACUAAGUGAGAGGCCACGGGAAACCAAAGUAGGGUUAUGGGGGAAGUAUGGUUGCAAAGCUGAAACUUAAAGGAAUUGACGGAAGGGCACCACCAGGAGUGGAGCCUGCGGCUUAAUUUGACCCAACACGGGAAAACUUACCUGGUCCUGACACUAGAAGGAUUGACAGAUUGAUAGCUCUUUCUUGAUUUGGUGGAUGGUGGUGCAUGGCCGUUCUUAGUUGGUGGAGUGAUUUGUCUGGUUAAUUCCGAUAACGAACGAGACUCUAGCCUAUUAAAUAAUAUGCGGAAUCAAUUUCUCCCGCGUUAUUUCUUAAUGGGACC
rnacentral:rRNA from 1 species